CUUCUCGAGCCCUAAGUUUUUCUUCUGUUCUUCUUGCCGGCAGAAAAAUCUUGAAACGUUACAGAGUUUGAAUGAAUCGAAGCGUCAGCUUCAAUGGAGUCAGUAAUAAUUGUUCUCCACACCUCACACCUCACACAAUCUCUCAUCGAAUGCAUCCUCUAUUACUUUCUUUUUUCAGAAUCUUCACCUAUAAAAACGUGUCAAGAAGCCCAUGAAGUGAGAAGGACGUAGCAAAGCAUCUGCAAAGGAACCAAACUAAACAAAGGUCAAACAAGUGUCUUCUUCGUUUUCAUGUAAUAUUUCCGUAGGAGUUUCAAGAUGGAGAAUCCUAAGGAACAAAUAUAUUGCUGCUUUGCUGUGAGUGGCUCCUUCUCACUUUGAAGGUUCUUUUGUAACUUAGCCUCUUGAUCUUGAUUGGCACUUUGGCGUUGAAUUUGAAUGCAAAAACAGAAGAAGGCACCUUAUGUUGCUAAGGCUGAAAAGUGCAAGGUUGACUACGUGAAGAACAUGAAAGACUACAACAAAUACCGGAUAUUAAGGAGGAAGGCCGAAAGGAAGAUGAGGCCAUUCAAUUAUAAUCUCAGAGUUUAAUGAUGACGACGAUGCUUAGGAUGGUAGUUAAGAGGUCUGGAAAGAACGUCACAGACCAGACCAAAUCAGAUGUGCAGAACCGGAGAAGAUCAAACCGAGAGAGGAUACCAAACCGUAAAUACUUGGGCUCUACGUAAUCAUGGGUUACGUAUUUCUUUAGUUGUUUAUUUGAAUGUUUAAAUAAGAAGAGACUUGGUCCUCCUUGUGUUUAGGAACCACCUCUUCCACCUUUCCCAAUUCCCUGUUGUGUAGGAGUGGAAACUCCAAAGUUAUUUCAGUUCUUCUAUUUAUUAAAUGAAAAACCCAAAAAGAGGUAGACUAUUCUACCCAAAACUACAA